rnacentral:lncRNA from 1 species
AUGAGCUUCUUUGGGAAAGUGGUUCUCAAGAUAUCUGAAGCUGCUUCCUCAAAAGAGCUCCCUUUGCUAUUUUGUAAUAAACUGUCAAGGGUAUGUGAGAAGCUGCAGAGUACUUUACUAAUGAUAUGUUGUGCCCAUAAGUUGUAUUUUAUGAUGAAUUUUACAACAAUACUUGUAUGUAUCAUGUCUAGUAAUUAAAUCUGGAGCUCAAAGCUAACAUUUGCUCUUAGGGGAUUUAAUUCAGUUGAUUGUAGUGUUGGUGGGAAAACUAACUCUAUAAUUUAGAUGGAGAUCUGAUGUCCCCUCCAGCAUUCGAGUAUUUGAAAACAAGAUUUUAGGAGAAGUCUAUUUUUAAUAUUCACACUAAUUUAUCAUUUUAACUGACAUGCUUGAAGCCCAGUACAAUCAUAGGUUAAACAAAAGGAAAGUAGGAUAUUAAAAGAUCUGAUAGGCUGCAUCCAAGUUUUGUGUGUGUCUUUCUCUACAGGAUUUCAUGGAAUGUGGCCCACUGUGGAAAUAGUUCUUGAAUUCUCUUCAUUGGAAAUGCUGACAAAAAUUAAUAUGCUCCUAAAGUGAAACAGAGUUGGAAACAAAACAAAACUCAGCCUCUUAUAAUUGACCAAGCCAAAGGAAGUGCAGAAGCUAAACACAUUCUUACAGUAUUUAAGAGAAUAUUUAUGCUUUUCUAAUACCUCAAAGCAUGAAUAAUAGAGAUAAGGUAAUAGUGGUGAGCAGAUUUCUUCAGAAGUCCAAUGAGCAGUGGGAAUAUAAGUUCUUUAGGACUUGAAUCCCAGUAGAAAAAUCUUGUGGGGUACACUUCUUGUGGGACGGAGUCACCUCAAAAUGGAUGUAAUUUAAGGCCUCUGUAUGGAUUCAUGAAUACUCCAGCUGGUUUGCUAGCUGGUCUGGUAUCUUGUCUCACUUUAUGCCAAAUUCUAGAGUGGAAGGACAAAGAAAUCAGGAGGUUGAAUAUCUCUUGUUGAAGUAACAGUGCUAAACAAAACAAAUGUAAAUGUGCACUGUGAAAUAGUUUCUUGAAAGCUGAGCAUAUUUACCUUUCAUCAAGAUUCAAAUUCAGUUGGAAUUGUUUCCACUGGAAGUAUGCAGUGACAUGACUUUGUAGUAACUUGGCUUUUUCCUGUAGUGUCAUGCGAAUGGCAAUUGUCAGGAUACAAAAACAAGACCCUGGAAGUUGUCC